rnacentral:rRNA from 1 species
AUUGAACGCUAGCGGGAUGCCUUACACAUGCAAGUCGAACGGAGUGGCGAACGGGUGAGUAAUGUAUCGGAACGUGCCCAGUAGCGGGGGCUAACUACGCGAAAGCGUAGCUAAUACCGCAUACUAUUGGAGCGGCCGAUAUCGGAUUAGCUAGUUGGUGGGGUAACGGCUCACGAAGGCGACGAUCCGUAGCUGGGUUGAGAGGACGACCAGCCACACUGGGAAUGAGACACGGCCCAGACGCCUACGGGAGGCAGCAGUGGGGAAUAUUGGACAAGGGGGGAAACCCUGAUGCAGCCAUGCCGCGUGUGGGAAGAAGGCCGUCGGGUUGUAAGGCACUUUAGGCAGGGAAGCGUUGCCUGCAGAAUAAGCACCGGCUAACUACGUGCCAGCCGCCGCGGUAAUAC